AUGCUGGAUUAUGAGUUCGGAAGGCAGACUAUUGCGGGCCUGAAUCCCAUGAUAAUAAAAAAGCUCGAGUGCUAUCCUCCUGUAAGCAGCCUGGAUCCUAAGAUUUUCGGGCCAAAAGCCACUGCACUGAAAGACGAACACAUACUGGAUCAGCUCAACGGCCUCACUGUUCAAGAAGUAAGAAAGUAUUUUUCUAAGAACCAAGCUUCACCGCUGGUGUUUGUCAGGCUCUGGAGGCGAAUAAGCUCUUCAUCUUGGAUUACCACGAUGCAUUCCUGCCAUACUUGAACAGGAUUAAUGCGCAGGAGGGAAAGAAAACAUACGCAACACGGACUAUAUUGUUUCUUACAGACAGAGGUGUCUUGAAGCCUAUAGCCAUCGAGUUGAGCCUCCCAGCAGCAACAGCGACCGGCCAGAGAAAGAACAGGGUAUUUGUCUGCUCCGACACACCAAAGAGGGACUGGGCUUGGGAAGUUGCCAAAGGACACGUUGCCGUGAAUGACUGUGGAUAUCAUCAACUCAUUAGUCACUGGUAAGAGAAUGAUACAAAAAAAUAUAUGGCAAUGCUUACCUGAUCGCGCUCAUCCAGGCUGAGAACGCAUGCCGUCAUGGAACCGUUUAUAAUUGCUAUGCACAGGCAGCUGAGUAUUCUUCAUCCAAUCUACCUCCUGCUGAUUCCGCACUUCAAAGACACAAUGACCAUCAAUUCCAAAGCUCGCCAAUCGCUGAUCAAUGCAUCAGGAAUCAUCGAAGACAACUUCACACCGGGAAAAUACUCCAUAGAAUUAAGUGCUGUCGUCUAUGGAUCGCUGUGGAGAUUCGACCAGCAGGGACUUCCAGCUGACUUGAUCGCCAGGUAAGGGGAUUUCUAGCUUGAAACUAUCCAAACGAAAAGCAAGCACGAUUUUUUUUCCAGGGGAAUGGCUACUCCAAAUCCGAAAGCCAGACACGGCCUAGACCUCCUCAUUGAAGACUAUCCUUACGCAGUGGAUGGACUGAACCUCUGGAGUGCAUUGAAGCAAUGGGUGACGGACUACACAGACAUUUUCUACAAGGACGAUGCUUCAGUCAGGGAUGACACUGAGCUCCAGGCAUGGUGGCAAGAAAUCGUGAAUGUUGGUCAUGCAGACAAGAAAGUUGGAUGGACAGACCUGAACACAAAAGCAAACUUGAUCGAGGCACUCACCACCAUGAUUUGGAUCCCAUCGUGCCACCACGCUGCUGUUAACUUUGGCCAGUAUGCAUACGCUGGAUUCCCAGUGAACAGGCCGACCAUCUCUCACAAGCUCAUUCCCGACGAAGACACCGAAGAAUAUAAACAGCUGCGAAGAAACGGGGAGAAAUUCUACCUCUCAUCCUUCUCCACCAAAACCGAAGCGACGCAAGUGAUGACAACCAUCGAGAUCCUCUCCACGCAUUCAUCCGACGAAGAGUACCUGGGCACGCGGCCGGAGCACUGGACGAGCGACAAACGGGUGCUGGACGCAUUCGAGCGAUUCAAGGCCGCCAUAGCCGAGACAGAGGCCGAAGUGAUGGCAAAGAACGCAGAUCCAGAGCUGGAGAACCGCCGCGGCCUUGUCAAUCUACCCUACACGCUCCUCGCCGUGAGCUCGUCCCCGGGCAUCACUGGCCGAGGAGUCCCCAACAGCAUCUCCAUCUAGAUGGCGCUACCAUUGUAGGGUUAGGGUUCUUCAUACUUUAGUUAUAAUUCUCUCUCUCUCUCUCUCUCUCUCUCCAUUCUUCUAGAACGCCAAGAACUCGGCCGAUCCGCUGCAAUACAGCCUUGAAUCCCUGCUCUUCCUGGAGUUAUCUCUGAUUUGUUCCUUUGCAUUCUCGAUGACUCCACCACGAGCUUGUCCUGGUAUCCUUCUACACUUAAAAUUAAGAUCAAGAGAGAGAAAAGAAGCCGUCUUGUCUUCUAUGAUGGGAAGCUCAUACCUGCAGAAGAAAAUGUUUAUCUCUUACUCUUCUCACGUCCUAGAAAAAAUCUCUACAAGCAUCAGUCACAUCUAAAACAGAGAAUGGAUCAAUCACUUAGGAAAUGCACAAGUGAUGAGGAAUCCAGCGCGGGGAUGAUCCACCACACCAGUGUAUGAGCACUGGACAAGGAGAUAUUUCCAAGCAUCGCUACAAGAAAAAGAGUUCCUUCUAAACAUCGCGACAAGGGAUCUACUGGACCAUCGCUUGUGGCGUGGAUUCUGCAUCGAUGCUCGCUUUUGCUGCAACAGGGAUGACAGUAGAGGAUGAAGAGCACGAGAAAUCGAGACCAGGCUUGUUUUUAGCUUCCUCGGCUUCUUCAAUUUGAGAGAAAAUGGCGCUUCAGGAGCCGAAUCUGCGAGGAAGUAGAGGAGAGAGACAGAUCAUCUUCAUGAACCCUAAAAUCCCUCCCUCUAGAACCAUAAAUUUUGUUCGACCGCGUCCGACCAGGAUCCCGACCGCCGCCGAACGCGGUCGGACAACUCCGUUCGGUGAUUCCAAUAUUCCAAUGGCAAUCGCACUCGCAGGGGCUAGAUUUCCGAUGCUGUUGCCCUGGAUCACCACUGCAUCUCCACCGCUUUGCUAGUUCUCCUGCUGCUCCGCUAUGGAGCGAUCCAUCCACGAAUGCUCAGCAAGCCUACAUCGAAUCUGACGAAAAGGACUAUAGGAGCUGCGUCAGUAACUCCACUUCCUGCCAGGCCUAUGCAGCGUACUGAGCUCUCCAGGGCGACAUCUGCAGUCGGUUGGCCUCUGCUUGUAUAAUUUGUGCCCUAAAAUGGAAAUUCAAAUGAGAGGAAGAUGUUUACUUUUACUAGUAUGGUUUUAUUAAAAAUGUUUUUUUUAAUCAAAAAAAAUUAUAAAUUGUCAUUCACCAUUGAUAAUUAGCAAGUUAGUUAAUUACUAUUCAAAAUAAUCAAAAUUAACCUUAUUAAUGUCACAAUUAAAUGCAAGGACCAAAGCCAAUUGUCACUUCUCUGGCAUAACCUUUGUGCUUUUCUCCCAAGCUCUUGUGCAGAUCUAAAGAGCAUUGCGACCCAGGUGGAGAAGGGCUUGAUGUGGAAUGUGAUGGAUAUGCCAAGGUCUUCUCUUGCCGCGUUUGUCAAGUAUGUCAUGUCACCGAUGCGGACUCAGUGCUCCAGUUUGUGAACUGGCAGUUGUUUUUCUCUUCUGGUGUUCGUUUCUUCGACUUCUCUUGUUCCAUUUGCAGCAGGUGGAGGAUGGAAGUUGAUAUGCCACCGCAAGUUUCCAAUAAGCCGAGCGUUCUCCCGGAGCUGGAAAUGUUUUGCUACCUCGUUGUUCUCAUCUACUUAUCGAUCAGAGACAGUAUAAGCAGGUGAGCACUUUCAUUUUUCUUCUAGCCAGCUGGAUUUCUAAUCUUGUUCCAUAGGCGAAAUCUUGCGCAGAUGAAUGAGAUUGCAACAGCUAAACCGGCGGACUCCCCUCGACACUACUACUCACUUUGUAGCUACGAAUGCAUCGAUUCACUGGCUGAGACUCGAGGGUAUUUGAUGUAUUCAAAUAAUCAAAUGGUUUCCAGGGCACUUCUUUCUCACACUUCGUCACGACGAGCUGCGACAGGUUCUGUUUUUUUUCGAUUCAGUAUAUGUGGAGGCCCCUUCGAAAGAACAAUGCGGUGUUUGAUUUGGUGCUGUUACCACGCGCGCUGGGACAGGAUAACGUUGCUUGUACUUACCACAGGCCCGUUCUCGAGGCUACGAUCAAGGCGCAGCAGGCUUGGAGAGAGCUGUUUUAUAACAGUGGCCACCCCGACAACGAUGAAACGCUGCUGGUUUUCUUUUUACCCCCGGAUUCCUAUCACGGCUUCAAGUUCCAGAAGUACCGAUCAUCUAGAAAGGUUUCUCAGAAAGCUGUCAGAGGUGAGUGAUUUCAUAUGAGCAAGAAGUAUGUGAAGUUACAGUUUCCUUCUUUAGGUGGCCGUGCCGGUAUCUGGAAGUCCUUAUGUAGAAGAGAUGAGCCACGAGAUGGAUGUGGUUUCUCUAGAUGCGAACUUGCCGGGGACUUGGGAAGAGGUUCUCGGCUGCAUAGAGUCCAAGGAAACUUUUGAAGAUCCACCGGAGAAAUCACUUGUCCAAGAAAAGCUCCAAUAUUUGAAGAGGAAGUUGGCGAUAGAGACGAGCUGGACGACUUGGAAAAGAUCCGUGACAUUGCAGAUGGUAGGCUGAAGCGCAAACGUCUUCAAUCACUGUGCAAGAUGCACAAUAUCAGAGCCAAUACCACCAACGACGAGAUUCUGUUUGAUCUGGCUGAUCUCUGGCAAAGCUCUUGUUCUAUAUUUGUUUCCUCUCUAAGAACUAUGGCUGCUUAUGCUUAACAUUGAUAAAUUAGUCUAGCAAUCUCGUGGAAAACCAAGAAAGAAUGGUUGAGUACAAAGUCAAAAACAAUGGCUAAGACUGGCUGAAGUCAGAUUUGUUGAUGACAUACCUCUAGAAUUUAGAACCCAUAUAGUUUACUGAAGAACUACGGAAUCAGCAGGAGGUAGAUUGGAUGAAGAAUGCUCAGCUAGCAAUAAUAAAUGGUUCCAUGACGGCAUGCGUCCUCAGCCUGGAUGAGAGCGAUCAGGUACGCAUUGCUAUAUAAUUUUUGUAUCAUCGUCUUGGAUUCCUCGGCUUUUUUUUGCCAAACACUCUUGAUUUAGUGGCAGCACGUGAAGAACAAACACUUUGCGAAGAGCUUGCAAUGCCAGACGCAUGCUAUGUCGGCACGAGCUUUGUCUUUCUUUCCUUCUGUAUUUCUUUCGCUUCGGUUUUUCUUCAUCUACAGGAGUGGCUCCAACCUGGUGGCAAAGUUCCAGUUUUAUGCUCCUGCAACACCACAGAGGUCACCUUGCACUACAGGCUUCCAGUUCUAGAAAGAGGCGGCUAAAGUGUUUUGUCUGGACAGUGUACAAUGGAAAAAUCCAAAUCACGAUCAUCUUCUGCUACGCCUCGUUGAUAAAAACACAAUGACCAUCAAUUUCAAAGCUCGCCACCAAUGCAUCAGGAAUCAUCGAAGACAACUUCACGUCGGGAAAUCACUCCAUAGAACCAACUGCUGUCGUCUAUGGAUCGCUGUGGAGAUUCGACCAGCAGGGACUUCCAGCUGACUUGAUCGCCAGGUAAGAUUUCUAGCUUGAAACUAUCCAAACAAAAAGCAAACAAUGAUUUUUCCCAGCCAAAACCGAAAGCCAAGCACGGCCUAGACCUCCUCACUGAAGGCUGUCCCUACGCAGUGGAUAGACUGAACCUCUGGAGUGCAUUGAAGCAAUGGGUGACAGAUUACACAGACAUUUUCUACAAGGACGAUGCUUCAGUCAGGGAUGACACUGAACUCUAGGCAUGGUGGCAAGAAAUAAGACAGUUGGAUGGACAGACAUGAACACAAAAGCAAACUUGACCGAGGCACUCACCACCGUGAUUUGGAUCCCCAUCGUGCCACCACAACUUUGGCCAGUACGCAUACACUGGAUUCCCAGUGAACAGGCAGACCAUCGCUCACAAGCUCAUUCCUGACGAAGACAGGACACCGAAGAAUAUAAGCAGCUGCGAAGAAACGGGGAGAAAUUCUACCUCUCACCCUCCAAAGCCGAGGCGACGUUGGUGAUGACAACCAUCGAGAUCCUCUCCACGCAUUCCUCCGACGAGGAGUACCUGGGCACGCGGCCGGAACACUGGACGAGCGACAAACGGGUGCUGGACGCAUUCGAGCGAUUCAAAGCCGAGACGGAGGCGGAAGUGAUGGCAAGGAACGCGAAGAACCGCCGCGGCCUUUUCAAUCUCCCCUACACGCUCCUUGCCGUGAGCUCGCCCCCGGGCACUGGCCGAAACAGCAUCUCCAUCUAGAUGAACCCUAAAA
rnacentral:lncRNA from 1 species